GACUGCCUCUGGAGAGCGGGCGGCGAGAGGCUGGGGGCCCAGAUUCCUUCGCUUUGUACUGGUUCUGCCUGUCUGGAGGGCCAUGGAGAAGAGGCUGGGAGUCAAGCCAAAUCCUGCUUCCUGGAUUUUAUCAGGAUAUUAUUGGCAGACAUCUGCGAAGUGGUUGAGAAGCCUGUACCUGUUUUAUACUUGCUUUUGCUUCAGCGUUCUGUGGUUGUCAACAGCGAAAACCCCACCGAAGAGAAGAAUUUAUCAACUGCUUUUUUUUUCUUUUUUGAAAUAAUACUGGUAGCUCAUUCUCUCUACUCUUAUUUCCACCAUCACAGCCUUUCCUUUGGGAUACAGUCUGAUGAAUUUAGUUAGAAUUUACAUUUCUGGACACUAACAGUAUGACUCCUGAAACAGGGGACGUUCUGUCUCUGCUCCCUACUUGGUUGCUAACCAGGGCAGUUUUCAAGUUUGCUUGAGAAGCCAAGCUUAUUACCUGAGAUUUAAGAAUGCCAGAGCCAACAGCACUGUCUUUAAAUAUUUCCAGAGUUGUUCACAGCUUUCUAAAAGUAUUUAAUGAAU
rnacentral:lncRNA from 1 species